UGGCAAAGUAACUACAUUCCGGGCUUGACAUUUACUUUUUGAGGUACUUGUCCUUUGGACAAGUACAUUUACGUUUCACUUGUCCAUG